ensembl:snRNA U6 U6 spliceosomal RNA
GUGCUCACUUCAAUGGCACACAUACAAAAGUUGGAAUAAUACAGAGAUUAGUAUGGCCCCUGUGCAAGGAUGACACACAAAUUUUCAAAGUAUUCCGUAUAAAA